UACGAAGGGGGCUAGCGUUGCUCGGAAUCACUGGGCGUAAAGCGCACGUAGGCGGAUUGUUAAGUCAGGGGUGAAAUCCUGGAGCUCAACUCCAGAACUGCCUUUGAUACUGGCGAUCUCGAGUCCGGGAGAGGUGAGUGGAACUGCGAGUGUAGAGGUGAAAUUCGUAGAUAUUCGCAAGAACACCAGUGGCGAAGGCGGCUCACUGGCCCGGUACUGACGCUGAGACGCGAAAGCGUGGGGAAGCGAACGAGGAUUGAUAA
rnacentral:rRNA from 1 species